GAGUCGUAUGCGGGGAUGUUAGGUACACACAGUCUCAACGCCUUGAGGGAAACGCUGUUUUCUUUGUGUUUCGGCCGCUUUCUAAUUUUUUUCCCUCUCCGGAGAUAGUUUACAUAUAUGAAAGCUAGCUAUUGUGCUCUGUCAUUCAUCGUGCUGAUUAAUUUGUGCGGCGACCGAAUUUUUUUUCGGUAUGUUGGCAUUGUAUGUCACGCCUACAGUCAAGCAGAAGACAGCGAAUUGCUGACACCAAGGAGCAGUUGGAAUCAUUGUUGUGGAGUUUAAUUAAGUGGAAAUCCACAGCAUGUGGUAACAAGAAAACCACUAACGUUGCUGGAACUUCAGUGAACCAUGUCUGGAGAAUAAAAAAAGAGAAAAAAAUUUGUGUUUUACUCAAGGCAGAUCAUCUCCAACUACAAAUCUAUUUGUAAACAAACACAGGUAGAAGAGUUUCAACCUCAAGAUGAUCAUUUCAAUGACUCAUGUGGUGAGCGAAGUCUCUGCAAUAACUGUUGACUUUAAUAGUGACACAGGACUUCUUUUUCAUAGCUCCAGCAAUAAAGUGUUAUUUCUCAUUUGGUUACAACUAAAAGUUCUAACAAAUGACUUUAACCUAACUUUUAUGCAGGCAUCAAUAUCUAAAGAGCAAUAUUAAAAAUUAAAAGUGUUAUCAAUGUCAGUGACUGACAGAAUAGCUCCUACACAAUUUAGCAAACUACUUUUACAUUUUAUUGUGGUAAUUAUAACACUACUAAGAAUGGUAAGUAGAUAAAAUUUUUUGUUGUGGCCAGAAGUGUGUAUUAGCUGAAACUUUCCAAUAGUCUUACCAUCUCAUUGUAAGAAAGACGAAGGAAAUUUGCAGUGUAACUGUAAGUGACUUAUAAUGUGAAUGUUUUUAAUAUAUUUGUAUAUUUUAACAGCUUGCAUGCACAAAGAACAGUACUUCACAAAGGGCUGAAAGGAAGGCUAAAGAAUGAAAUACAUAAUUUUAUACAAUGUGAAAUUUAUUCAAGUAUAUUUUGUAAGAACAAUCGACAAGAUCACAUAUUAAUAUCACAUGCUGAAACACAAUGACAUUUAGAAUUAGGAUGUACAGAUUAUAUGUACAGCUGUUAAUAGAAAACAAAAUCAGUCUUAAUGAAAAGAAACACUUUCUCUGAUAAGUUAUUUACAAGUACACAAAUGUACAGACUAUUAAUAUACAUCUUCAAAAGGACAAACAAAAAUAUAAUAAGGGUACUCUCUGAGAUACAGUUCUGUAAACGAUUGUCAUUCUGAAGCAUUCUCGAAGAUUAAACAGUGCAAAGACAAAAUUUAAAAAAAUUAUGCAAUAUGCCUCCGGGCCAUCAGCAUAAGCAGUGGAUACUUCCUUGAGUUAAUCAGUUAGCACCUGAAUGUUAUUGACAUAUUCUACAAGAUAGAUAUUAGUUUGUUGCAUACAGACUGCUUGUAUUUCUGCCACAGUCAGACCUUCCUCAGAAUAUAUGCAACAUUUCAUGUCUUAGUGAUGCUGGCAGCAUACGUAUUAAUGGGUAUUGAACAGACUUGUCACAUAGUGCUGGUUUUAUGUUAAAUGAGUUACUUAUUUUACAACUAAUAGAAGAAAACAAGGUUUUUUGGGGGGAGAUUUCACAGUGCCACAUGUUGCAUUUAAAAAUAGUAUUU